rnacentral:rRNA from 1 species
UACGUAGGGUGCAAGCGUUGUCCGGAAUUAUUGGGCGUAAAGAGCUCGUAGGCGGUUUGUCGCGUCUGCUGUGAAAACCCGAGGCUCAACCUCGGGCCUGCAGUGGGUACGGGCAGACUAGAGGUAGGUAGGGGAGAAUGGAAUUCCCGGUGUAGCGGUGAAAUGCGCAGAUAUCGGGAGGAACACCGGUGGCGAAGGCGGUUCUCUGGGCCUUACCUGACGCUGAGGAGCGAAAGCGUGGGGAGCGAAUAGG